UGAUGCUAAGAUACGAAGGAUGAUGAAGAUCUUUUUUGAAUGUUUUUAAAUCAAGCAGAAAAUCGUCAAACAGAAGGUCACAAAAUCAAUACUUCUCCAGAGUCAGCUCCAGUGAAGAUGGUCAACAUUUCUUAAUGAGUUUUCGCUUUUAUUAUUUCUAUGCGUUUAGUAUCAACGUUCAAUAAGCAAGAACUGGAACUACUCCUAUCUAGAUUACCCAAUAAAUAAUAUAUUAUUGAUUACCCAAUAAAUAAUAUAUUAUUGUACUUGGCAACACGGUCGCAAAUACUGCGUCACUGGCUGUGUUCAAACAAUUUUCACCUUUAAAAGAUACAUGUUAAUAAUACCACACAAGAGAACGGUGUCUUUCUGCAUCCUUCCACAAAAGAGGGCACCUGGAUCAUUCUCUGACUCUGAUGUUUGGCGAUUGGGGACCUGCAUAGCAUAUAUGGGUACCCAAGGAAGUUACCACCUUCUAUGUCUAUUAGCCGGGUGAUGCUUAUAUAAUCUUUGACCGAGGGUUCAAUCAGCUGCAGGCAGAUGAAUAUGCAUCAGGAGACAAAGGUUUAUGAUAAAUGGAGGAUAGCAUGACAUAGUUUAGCUCAAUCUUGUAUUUCUAAACACUAGAUUACAAGGAAUUAAAAGAAUACGUCAGUGUAUGUCCCCAGAUUGCCUUUAAAAGACAAAAACCUUUCUUAUUAUUCACGU